rnacentral:lncRNA from 1 species
CUCAUUUUUCUCUUGCUACCACCAUGUAAGAAGUGUCUUUCGCCUCCUGCCAUGAUUCUGAGGUCUCCCCAGCCAUGUGGAACUGGGAAGAAUGGAAGGCAACGCCUCCGAAUUAAAUUUUGGGACCCCCAGUAAAAUUUCAGGAAAGCCCAGAACUGAUCUGAGAAUGCACAAACUUGGCAUGUCUUUGACAGAGAAGGCUCUGGGAUUUCAGCGCGUUCAUUGCCCUCCACUAAGGAGCUGCUCAGCAAAGGGGCUUCCCUCUGCUCUGCUCUCGGGUUCGGAAUCCGGAGCGAGUUUCCAGUGAGCGGCGCCCGCUGAGCGAGUGGGAAAGCAUCGCGCGUGCCUUUCCCCGCGCGCGUCUGCGGAUCAGCGCAGGCGAGGAAUGCAGAUGUGAGGCUGGAGGCAGUAGAGCCAUCUCGCAAUCAUGCAGCAACAAGCAAGGCAGAGCUGGCAUGUUGUUGACUGAUAACAUCGAGAAGCUGCUAUAUUAAUCCUGGACUGCCAAUCUCUGAACUUCUUGGUAUAUUGGGAACAUAAACUCUUUUGGUUAGGCACUGCGUCAGAUUUCUACUACAUGCAGCCAAAUGCAAUCUAGAUUGAAAUACCCCUUUACCUAAGUUAGCUUUAGCUGUUCUCACAACUUGCUGUUUGUGCUCCACCCACAGCAUAUGAGAUCCCUUUUGCCCACAGCACCCUCCCUCAGUGUGAUGUCGUCCCCCAACCAGUAUUUGCAGGUUUUUUGUUUUUUUUUUUUAAUCACAAAACUGCUCUCAGUCUGCCAAAUCUGUUGGCCCUAGAGCCAGAAGUGCUAUCUCCUGGGAAUUUUUUUUUUUUUUGAGACAGGAUCUUGCUGUCAUCCAGGCUGGAGGGCAGUGGCACACACUCCUGGGCUCAAGCGAUCCUCCUGCUUCAGCCUUCCGAGUGGUUGGGACUAUAGGUGAGUGCCACCACUCCCAGCUAAUUGUUUUUAUUUUUUGUAGAGAUGGGGAUGGGCAGGGAUCUUACUUUUUGCCCAGGCUGGUCUUGAACUCCUGGACUCAAGCCAUCCUCCUGCCUUGAUCUCUCAAAGUGCUGGGAUUACAGGCAUGAGCCACCAUGCCCGGCCUGGGAUCUAUUCUUAACCCUUGCCCUAGUCAGGGUGGUCUUCCUGCAGGAUUAAGAGUUAGACUCUGAGACUCUGAUAUCACACCCUGGCUUGGCCUUCCCUUCCCUGUCCUACCUCCCCACCCUGCUACCAGUUUCUUCUGGAGAUAUUUCCUGAUAGACUACAGUAGUCCUCCCUUACCUGAGGUUUAACUUUCUGCAGUUUCAGUUAUUGGCAGUCAACUUAGGUCUGAAAAUACUAAAUAAAAUAUCCAGAAAUAAAAAA